rnacentral:rRNA from 1 species
AUUGAACGCUGGCGGCAGGCCUAACACAUGCAAGUCGAGCGGAUGAAGGGAGCUUGCUCCUGGAUUCAGCGGCGGACGGGUGAGUAAUGCCUAGGAAUCUGCCUGGUAGUGGGGGAUAACGUCCGGAAACGGGCGCUAAUACCGCAUACGUCCUGAGGGAGAAAGUGGGGGAUCCUCGGACCUCACGCUAUCAGAUGAGCCUAGGUCGGAUUAGCUAGUUGGUGGGGUAAAGGCCUACCAAGGCGACGAUCCGUAACUGGUCUGAGAGGAUGAUCAGUCACACUGGAACUGAGACACGGUCCAGACUCCUACGGGAGGCAGCAGUGGGGAAUAUUGGACAAUGGGCGAAAGCCUGAUCCAGCCAUGCCGCGUGUGUGAAGAAGGUCUUCGGAUUGUAAAGCUCUUUAAGUUGGGAGGAAGGGCAGUAAGUUAAUACCUUGCUGUUUUGACGUUACCAACAGAAUAAGCACCGGCUAACUUCGUG